GGUUUGAUGGUGUAGUUGGUUAUCACGUAAGCUCAAUUUCAUCCAUCUUGACAUGAAAAUGUCUAACAAACCUCAGGUCUGCUUAACACAAGCUCAUCGAGCAUCUGUCAUACGCAGAAGGUCUCCGGUUCAAGUCCGGGUCGAAUCA